rnacentral:rRNA from 1 species
AUGAGCAUCCCUGAAGGCCCCCUCGUCGAGAUCCUCUCGCGGGUGCCCUACAAGUCACUCUGCCGCUUCAAGUGCGUGUCCAAGACGUGGUUCGCCCUCUGCUCCGACCGAGAAAUCCUCAAGAAGUCGCCGCAGAGCCUAGCCGGAUUCUUUCUCAACUUCAGAGGUAACAUCUGUGUCCGUAAUUUAUCUGGGGGAGGCCCGCCUCUGGUCGACCCCAAUCUCCCGUUCUUGCGCGAGAACUACAAACGCGUGUGGCUUGAACAAUGCUGCGGUGGCCUUCUCCUGUGCGAGUGCGCGAAAUCCCGUUCCCUCGGAGGCGGAGGCGGACAUGACUAUGUUGUCUGCAAUCCUGCAACUAAGGAGUGGACUGUGCUGCCUCCUAUACAAUUUUUGGUUCAAGGCAUCGUCAAUGUCGGACCACUCAUUUACUUGGGCUUCGAUGCGGCUGUUCCCUCCCGCUUUGUGGCGUUUGCCCUGUCUGCACCCGAGGCACCAAACCACGGACAAGUGUCUAUCUACUCAUCAGAAACUGGACGGUGGACUUCUGUUCAGAGUAAGUGGGCCUCUGGAACUACUGUGAAUAGACAUGCAGGGUAUGUGUUUCUGAAUGGCGCUAUGCAUUUGACUACCUUUAGUAACUCAAUAGUCACGGUCGACGCCGAGGGGAAAGUUUGGAGGGAGAUUGAAAUGCCAGAUGACUUGCCAACCCUGUUUACACAUUAUUCCAUUGGCCAGUCUCAGGGGCUCUUCACUCUUGUAUGCUUGGAGGAUUGA